UCGGCAUACUGCUCAGUAACACGUGGAUAACCUGCCCUGUGCUCCGGGAUAACCUCGGGAAACUGAGAAUAAUACCGGAUAGUCCACCACGCCUGGAACGGUGGGUGGAUCAAAGGUCACGGCACAGGAUGGGUCUGCGGCGUAUCAGGUUGUAGGGGGUGUAAAGGACCCCCUAGCCAUUGACGCGUACGGGUUGUGGGAGCAAUCGCCCGGAGAUGGAUUCUGAGACACGAAUCCAGACCCUACGGGGUGCAGCAGGCGCGAAAACUUCACACUGCAGGAAACUGUGAUGAGGGAACUCCAAGUGCAUGCACAAUGUGUAUGCUUUUCCUAACUUUUAAUCGGUUAGGGAAUAAGGGCUGGGAAAGACCGGUGCCAGCCGCCGCGGUAAUACCGGCAGCUCAAGUGGUCGUCGCUUUUAUUGGGCCUAAAACGUCCGUAGCCUGUUUGGUAAAUCUGUGGGUAAAUCAACCAGCUUAACUGGUUGAAUUCUGCAGAGACUGCCAGACUAGGGACCGGGAGAGGUGUGGGGUACUCUCGGGGUCAGGGUAACAUCCUGUCAUCCUGGGAGGAACCACCAGUUGAGAAAAGCGCCACAUUGGAACGGAUCAGAAGGCCAGGACGAAGCUAGGGG
rnacentral:rRNA from 1 species